GAUCAAGCGACCAAGCGCGCAUGGCGGAUGCCUAGGUGGUAAGAGGCGAUGAAGGACGUUGUAGCCUGCGAUAAGCCUCGGGGAGCCGGCAAACUGGCUUUGAUCCGAGGAUUUCCGAAUGGGGAAACCCAGCCCUUCGGGGUUAUCACACACUGAAUACAUAGGUGUGUGAGGCGAACCUGGUGAACUGAAAUAUCUAAGUAACCAGAGGAAA
rnacentral:rRNA from 1 species